AACGAACGCUGGCGGCAGGCUUAACACAUGCAAGUCGAGCGCCCCGCAAGGGGAGCGGCCGACGGGUGAGUAACGCGUGGGAACGUACCUUUUGGUUCGGAACAACUCCGGGAAACUGGAGCUAAUACCGGAUAAGCCCUAACGGGGAAAGAUUUAUCGCCGAAAGCUCGGCCCGCGUCUGAUUAGCUAGUUGGUGAGGUAACGGCUCACCAAGGCGACGAUCAGUAGCUGGUCUGAGAGGAUGAUCAGCCACACUGGGACUGAGACACGGCCCAGACUCCUACGGGAGGCAGCAGUGGGGAAUAUUGGACAAUGGGCGCAGGCCUGAUCCAGCCAUGCCGCGUGAGUGAUGAAGGCCUUAGGGUUGUAAAGCUCUUUUGUCCGGGAAGAUAAUGACUGUACCGGAAGAAUAAGCCCCGGCUAACUUCGUG
rnacentral:rRNA from 1 species